GUUCCCCUCCAAGGUUCCAUACCUAUGCGAACCCAAACUUACACACAAACUUAUCCUAACUCAAUUAGAGUUCAACGCAGCAUUAAUAACAAAAUCAACUUCAUAAUAUAAUUGAAUUGUCUUAAUACAAGAGUUUAUAUAAGUUCAGAGUUUUGGAGCACUAACUAGACAUAAAGGAAAGGUACAAAGUACAACCAAAAAGCAGGUUCUGAAGGUCCAACAAAAUGACCUGCUAUCAAGCUAUAAGCCUGAAAAGAUAAAUAAUGAGAUGGUGAGUUCAACAACUCAGUGAGUAGAUAAUGUUCAAUAUACACACACGAGGUAAUACAACAAUGAGAAAUAUAUAUACAAGUAUGGCUCUAGGUUCUUAUAGAAAGGUUUCUCAAAUAGGCCAUAACAAGAAUAUCAUAUGGUAAAGCUCGUCAGAAAAUCAAAAUGCAAUGAGCAUGAGGCUCCGUACCGUGGGAUGAUCAGUCCACACAGGUUGGUGACUCCCCCGACCAACUAGGGUUCAGAUACGAUGUGCACAAAGACUAACACUACCCUGUUAGCAUGAGUAUUCUAACUGACAUACCAUAGGUUCAUAAUCAUAAUCAAACAGAUAUAUUCAUAUCUCAAGGCUCAACUCAUGACAUCAAUCAAAUGAGAAGCUAUCAAUUCAGAAUAUAUAUACUGGUUCAUAUCAAUAAUUCGGAUUCAACAAUUGAUCAUGCUUAUCAUAACAAGGAUAAUAAUCAACAUAUAUAUUAUCAAGAAGCAUGAUCCAAUUCAUAUUAACAAAUCAAGUAUUUAUAAUAUUUCUCAUGCAUAUGGAAAAUUAUCCACUCACCUGACUCGAAAGCAACAAAACUCAAAGCUGAUAUCGAAGGAAAUCCUACUGACGUCUCGCCGGUAGAAUAUCAGGAUUAUCUGAAUAUAAAGGAGACAUAUUCAAGAAUGACUCAAAAGAGCAUAUAACCUAUUUAAUACACUUAUCUAAGGGUGUAUUCCAUAACCCUAAAUGUUUUUAGACUAAACUAGUUAUCUUUCCUAAAAACCCAACAUUUAACUGUUUUCCCGAAAUCUAAUCCAUAAUAAAACUAAUAAUUAAAUUGGUAAUAAUUCACUAAAUAACCCUCAAUUAUUCAUCAAAACAAUCUGAAAAAGGUAAUAUUACAGCUAGGGACUAAUCUGUAAUUUAUCAUAUUCUUAAGGGUCAAAUUGCAACUUUUGUCAAAUUGAAGGACCAAACUGAAAUUUAUCAUAAAUCCAUGAAUAUACUGAAAUUCUGACCAUAAUUAGUCCUCAUUUCUGUCCAGAUCAUCUCAUUAUACUCCAAGGACCAUUCUGGAAUUUUACCAAAUUUUUAGGGUCAAAUUGUAAUUUUUGUCAAAUUGGAGGACUAAAUUGAAAGUGUUAAAUUCUCUUAUCUAUACAGUAAUUCUGUCCAUAAUUCAUAUGUUAUUCUGUUCAGAAUCUCGGAAUAUGCUCCAGGGACCAAUUUGUAAUUUUCCAAAGUUCGGGGACUAAACUGUAAUUUUCCAAAAUUGAGGGACCAAACCGAAAUUUUGUCAUCUUCAACCUCCAACCCAGAAUUCUCACAGAUUACCUACUGUUCUUGCCAAAUUUAUAACUCAACAUUCACCAUUUACACAAUUCAUAACUCAAAAUCAUCACAAUCUUCCAUAAUCAACUCAUUAAUCAAUUACCCAUAACAAUCAACCUUAUAACAUUCAAUUUAAUUCAUCAAUUAAACCCAAAACACAAAUUUUCAAAACCCUAACAUUUAUCAAAACCAAAAUUAAAAGCUCAAUAAUACAAAUUUAUACAUUUAACAACCUAAAUCUUACCUUUUUACUUAUUUCCUCCAACUCCUUUCUAUUUCCUUUCUAAUUUCCCUCUUUUCUCUUCUUCUUCUUCUUUCUCCCUUCUCCCUUCUCUCUCACGGUUUUUCACUCAAAAUAUUCAGAUCUCUUCUUU
rnacentral:lncRNA from 1 species